GCAUCCCUGCGGUCCGGGUUGGUAAGCUCAGGCCCAAAGCCUUGUAUGGGUUUUGUUAGAGGAACCCGUGUCCCUGCCGCGUGUUCCAUGUGACCUGACCCAGAGCACUGGCCUCUGGAGAGGGUGGCUCACUGGGCCCACCGGGCCAGGGAUGCCCCAGCAGCCAGAACUCACGCCUGCCCCCUCCCCGUCUGUCUGCCGUGGCUCAGGUGUGACCCAAACUCAGGUCCCCACCCUCCUGGAAAUCGAACCUGAAUAACCCCGCCCAGCCUCUACCCGUAGGAAGUAUGGGUCGGCUGACCCCUCGACCCAGGGAAGCCUCUAUUUUCCUUUUUGCAGGUUCUGCCAUUCUUGUAGUGCUGACAAUUAUUGCUAUUAUUUUCUGAGCACUUAUUAUGGUGCCAAGGGCUUCUCGUGCAUGAUUUAUUUCAUUUACCUUCUCAGCCACCCUGUGAGGCGGACGCUGGUGGUGUCCCCAAGACUGUGGGGCCGCCAAGGGGCGGAAUGGGAUUUGAACUCAGGAGAUCUGAUCCCCGGCUUUGCUUUACCGGUGUCACCACACAGACACCCUCCCUGGAUCCUCACCACCCCCCUUUCUGCACCACCUUUGUCCCAGCCCGUGUCCCGGGUACUCAGAUCCUUCUAGGCAUCCCAGGCGAGCAGGCCAGAGGGGUCGUCCCGCUUGCCUGAGGUCACACAGCAAACUACCCAGCCAGAGCGGAGCACAUCAGGGCCUCGGGAAGCUCCUUCAAACCCCCAGAUUGUCUACAUUCAUCCAAGCAACCUUUGACUGUCAGGACGAGAAAAGACAAUCCACGGAGCCUGACCUGACAACCCCGGGCUCCUGACAACCCCGGGAUCGUGACCUGAGCAGAAAUUAAGAGUUGGGCAACCCGCCGAGCCACCCAGGCGCCCCAAGAGCCAGCCACUCUUCCGAAAGGAGCCGGAGACCAGCAACGUUCCUAAAUGCUGUCCCCUCCACAGUCAGUGCCCAGUGCCAGGCAGAUGGCCACGCCCGCCAGGAGGAGAAGGGGGGCUGUUACUCAGCCAGAAGUGGUGCCACGCCUUGAAAUGACCAGAGGGACGGAUGAUAACCCUGCACUUCCCAUCCCAGUGUCUUGUAUAACUGUCACCCCGACCCUGUGAGCAGACUGGGCAGGCCCACCGUGUCCAUUUGACAGAUUGGGAAAACCAAGGCCCGGGAAACCCACCCCUCCACGCCCACCUCUGUCUCUACGGUUAGGGUGGUGCUACCCACUCUAACAGCUUCCUUCCAGAGAGGACGUGAGAUCCAGGUUAGGCCGCAGACAUGGAACUUUUGCUGCGACUAUGGGGGAAGAGAGAGGGAAGAGGCACCCUCUUUCCACGAGGAUGACAUGGGAUCAAAAGCUCUCGGGAAGCCAUUCUCUGCCCUCCCGGCAUGAGCCACAUAUACCGGAAGGCCUCACCAUGGAAGCUUGUCCGACAGAUGGAAGUGCAACAUCCUCAGGACAGCACGAGCCCCUGGAUCCAGCCAUGCCUGAACCUGCCUAACGCUUUUCAGUAGCAUGAGCCAAUACAACCCCUUUGGUGCUUUA